rnacentral:misc_RNA from 1 species
GAGUAAGGGUGCUCAGCGCCCGACCUCCAACCCUUUGUUGUUAAAACUACCUUGUUGCUUUGGCGGGACCGCUCGGUUCCGAGCCGCUGGGGAUUCGUCCCAGGCGAGUGCCCGCCAGAGUUAAACCAAACUCUUGUUAUUAAACCGGUCGUCUGAGUACUAUAUAAUAGUUAAAACUUUCAACAACGGAUCUCUUGGUUCU